rnacentral:rRNA from 1 species
GUCUGCAACUCGACCACACGAAGCUGGAAUCGCUAGUAAUCGCGAAUCAGCAUGCCGCGGUGAAUACGUUCCCGGGUCUUGUACACACCGCCCGUCACACCAUGGGAGCCGGAAACGCCCGAAGCCAGUGGCCUGACCGCGAGGAGGGAGCUGUCGAAGGCGGGUCCGGUGACCGGGGUGAAGUCGUAACAAGGUAGC